GUGGAGACUGAAGGUCUCAAGAGUGAGUGUCACAGUGGGCAAAGGGGUAUCUGAGUCACCACCAGGAAGUAGCCUCAGAAGUCAGGUAACAUCGCUUCUGCAUACUCUCUUGAUUGAAAUAGUCACAAAAAUGUACCUAUGCUCAAGAGAAGGGACAUUAGACCCUACCUCUUUUGGAAUAGUGAGAAGAUUCUAGAAGAGCAUGUGAAAUGGGAGAUGUUGUCGUAAUCAUCUUUGGAAUAUGCGGUCUGCCUCCAGAGGGUGCAUGUAUGGGGUAGGUGUGAAGGACGAGGACGGAAAGCCUGGGUCCAAUGGGUGGUGGUGGAGUAUCUUCUCUUGGAAAAACAAAUCAACUGUGUUAACAUCAACAAGGAAGUCUUCUCUGGAAUGAAGCUGUAUCUGUAGGAUUUGAUCAAGAUGUUCCAACUUGGUGACACUGAUGUGACCAAGGAUCUAAGCUGACAUUUGAAAGGCCCCUGGGGCCUCAUGAAGCAAUGAAGUCAACUUUGGGCUGUGUUAAGGGUCCAGGGCAGUACAGCUCUGCACUUGGCCUUGGCUCUUGGGCACUCACAGAUGGUCAACACCCAGUGGUGAUGAGCCUGUGAAAUGGAGCCGGGUGAGGAGACCACUGAUGCCAUUUUUAUUGGGUUU
rnacentral:lncRNA from 1 species